rnacentral:rRNA from 1 species
UACAGGGGGUGCAAACGUUGCUCGGAAUUAUUGGGCGUAAAGCGCACGUAGGCGGUUGCUUAUGUCGGAUGUGAAAGCCCUCGGCUUAACUGAGGAAGUGCAUCCGAAACUGGGCAGCUAGAGUACGAAAGAGGGUCGCGGAAUUCCCGGUGUAGAGGUGAAAUUCGUAGAUAUCGGGAGGAACACCGGUGGCGAAGGCGGCGACCUGGGUCGAUACUGACGCUGAGGUGCGAAAGCGUGGGGAGCAAACAGG